UGGGAGGGAACUGUGGGAGGCCUCUAGGAACUGAAGGCAGUCUCCAGCUGACAGUCAACAGGAAGUUGAGGGCUGAAGCCCUACAACCACAAAGACCUGAACUCUGCCAACAACAUGUGAGCUUAGAAGAGAACUUCAAACUCCAGAUGAGACUGCAGUGCCAAGUGACACCUCGACUGUAGCCUAGUGAGACUCUGAGCAGAGGACCCAGCUAAGUAGGACCUGGACUACUGACCUACAGAAAUCGUGAGUUAAUAAAGUUAAUUUAUAGACCCCCAACUGAUGGACCCAAGUUAGAAGAGGAAAAACUACUUCCGUCCAACUGUUUUGGCAAUUGAGGACAUGCUGGUUGAGAGACUGUAGCUGAGAACCAUGACCUCUGACCAAGCUGGUUAAGGUUCUUGGCUGAGACCUCCCUGUGAGAAAAAGACAGAUUAACAGGAGAAAAACAAACAAGUUUAAUAACAUGUGUACCUCCUGUAUACAUGGGAGAGAUCCAGGAAAACUGAGUAACUCUCGGAAAUGUCCCAAGGUGCUACCUUAAGUAACAUCUCCAAUUAAAGACAAAAGAAGAUGUUGAGGGGCAGGGGGGGCCAGUCAAGCGAAGAUACUAGGAAAAGCACAGUAAAUAAAGGUAAGGUUGUUAUGCAGAUUUAAGUCUUUGCCUUCUUCAUUGUUAAGAGUUUCUAGAGAUUGAGAAUCAUCCUUCUCUUCCUGGUACAGAGAGGGAGACAUCCUUACAAACGGAGAUUUUCCUUACAAAUGGACUUGUCUCUUACAAAAGGGUAAUUUCUCAGCUCAGUUUUCAAGAGCUUCUUCUGUGUUGUCUGUUUCUCAAAAAUGACCAGCUUAAGAUAAUUGUAUGUCAAAGGGGCAUAUUUUGGGGUGGUAUGUUUUGGUCCUCUUCACUAAUAAGCAAUAUCCUUAAACUUGAGAGGAAGCUUCAGGAAACUGGGUGGCCCAGCAGCUUUCCAAAGACAAAAUACUCACAGCCCCCAGAUGGGCAUUGUUCUGCUUAGUUUAGAAAGAGGCAGGAGAGAGCCUUGGGGGAGAUCUGAAAGAUCGAAAUAACUAAUA